CUCUUCUCUUUCUCUCUUUACUUCUGUGUGUGUGUGUGUGUCUGUUCUCUCCGUUUUAUUGGAUAAGUUAACACAAACCCUUUUUUUUUAUUUCUUUAUCGCCGUCCCUUCCGUGCCAAUUGCUUACGACCGUUUAUCUGCUCCCUUUGCCCCCCUCCCCCCAUGUUUGCCUGUUUCUCAAUCCACCGCUCAUUCUUUUUUCAGGGAAAAUGUUGGCUGCCGGUUCUUUUGACAUCUGAUAGCAAUGGCUGCUGAUCAACGGAGAAAGAGGCUGCACGGUGCUAGCAUUGCUGGCUGUAAUUCUUUGGACCAAUACAAAACCAAAAAGAAAAGGCUAGAGCCUCCGAGAAAUGAUUUGAACACAAAAUGUUGUAUUUCCCUUGAGUGGGAUGGGAGGAAAAAAGAAGUUGUUUCCAAAAGGGAACAAAUCGGCUUAAAUCGAAGGCAUUCGAUUUAAGGCGGCCAUUUACAGAUUCGACAGAUCAUUACAACAGUGUCUUGGCAGAUGUUUUGACUCUUCCUCAUGAAGUUUUUGAACUAAAGGACUUCACAAAGGUGCUUUCUUAUGAGGUUUGGCUGUCUCAUCUGUCUGAAAAUGAGAGAAAUUUUCUGAUGCAGUUUCUUCCCAAAGGAAUAGACAAAGAGCGGGUUCUGCAAGUGUUAUUUUCUGGAGAUAACUUUCACUUUGGAAACCAUUUUCUUCAAUGGCGAGUAUAUAUAUUUACUUUU